rnacentral:rRNA from 1 species
AAAUGUCAUCAAAUCAUCGUUAAACGUACAAGUUCUCGUCCGAUCAUUUAAGUUAAACAAUAUUGGAUACAGUUUAGUACUUAAAUGGACGAUCUUUUGGAAACAUCGUGUACUAUUG